rnacentral:rRNA from 1 species
GAUGAACGCUAGCGGCAGGCUUAAUACAUGCAAGUCGAGGGGCAGCAUGACUGUAGCAAUACGGUUGAUGGCGACCGGCAAACGGGUGCGGAACACGUACACAACCUUCCUAUAAGUGGGGAAUAGCCCAGAGAAAUUUGGAUUAAUACCCCGUAACAUAACGAUGUGGCAUCACAUUGUUAUUAUAGAUUUUUCGCUUAUUGAUGGGUGUGCGGCUGAUUAGAUAGUUGGCGGGGUAACGGCCCACCAAGUCUACGAUCAGUAGCUGAUGUGAGAGCAUGAUCAGCCACACGGGCACUGAGACACGGGCCCGACUCCUACGGGAGGCAGCAGUAAGGAAUAUUGGACAAUGGACGCAAGUCUGAUCCAGCCAUGCCGCGUGAAGGAUUAAGGUCCUCUGGAUUGUAAACUUCUUUUAUAAGGGACGAAAAAAGGCUUUUCUAAGUCGUCUGACGGUACCUUAUGAAUAAGCACCGGCUAACUCCGUGCCAGCAGCCGCCGUAAGAC